CCUUAAACGGUGACUAGGGCACUAUAGCAUUAAGAUUACACAUUUGUAUUCCUGGAUAUAAUGUUCCUUCAAGGGAGAUACAAUAUACUUACCUGAAUAUCUCCCUCUCCAAUCUUUCUUCUGACUUCAGCUCCUGGUAUGCAAGACAUUACAACAUAGAGGUCUACUGAGGAUCCCAGGAGACUGCAGGAUCUUCCAUGGAAAUUAACUUACAAGGUG